UACAGAGGGUGCGAGCGUUUAAUCGGAAUUACUGGGCGUAAAGGGCGCGUAGGCGGAUUAUUAAGUUAGAUGUGAAAUCCCUGGGCUUAACCUAGGAACUGCAUCUAAUACUGGUAGACUAGAGUGCGGUAGAGGAUAGUGGAAUUUCCGGUGUAGCGGUGAAAUGCGUAGAUAUCGGAAGGAACACCAGUGGCGAAGGCGGCUAUCUGGACUGACACUGACGCUGAGGCGCGAGAGCGUGGGGAGCAAACAGG
rnacentral:rRNA from 1 species